rnacentral:rRNA from 1 species
GAUGAACGCUGGCGGCGUGCCUAAUACAUGCAAGUCGAGCGAACAGACGAGGAGCUUGCUCCUCUGACGUUAGCGGCGGACGGGUGAGUAACACGUGGAUAACCUACCUAUAAGACUGGGAUAACUUCGGGAAACCGGAGCUAAUACCGGAUAAUAUAUUGAACCGCAUGGUUCAAUAGUGAAAGACGGUUUUGCUGUCACUUAUAGAUGGAUCCGCGCCGCAUUAGCUAGUUGGUAAGGUAACGGCUUACCAAGGCAACGAUGCGUAGCCGACCUGAGAGGGUGAUCGGCCAAACUGGAACUGAGACACGGUCCAGACUCCUACGGGAGGCAGCAGUAGGGAAUCUUCCGCAAUGGGCGAAAGCUUGACGGAGCAACGCCGCGUGAGUGAUGAAGGUCUUCGGAUCGUAAAACUCUGUUAUUAGGGAAGAAAAAAUGUGUAAGUAACUAUGCACGGCUUGACGGUACCUAAUCAGAAAGCCACGGCUAACUACGUG